rnacentral:sRNA from 1 species
GAAAGGGGGGCAACCCCCGAGUAGAGCGGCGAACGGGUGAGUAACGCGUGGAUGAUCUGCCUCCGAGUGGGGAAUAACAGCGGGAAACUGCUGCUAAUACCGCAUGACAUCCUUGGUUCACACACCGAGGAUCAAAGCCGGGGACCGCAAGGCCUGGCGCUUGGAGAUGAGCCCGCGUCCGAUUAGCUAGUAGGCGGGGUAACGGCCCACCUAGGCGACGAUCGGUAGCCGGCCUGAGAGGGCGGACGGCCACACUGGGACUGAGACACGGCACCACUCCUACGGGAGGCUGCAGUGGGUAUUUCUAGAAAUCUCCUACAUAUUUCAG